rnacentral:ncRNA from 1 species
AGCUGGCUAAGCGUGCUUUCCAGUGGCUUAAUCAGCAGUGUAUUGUUGUUCAGCGCCACUUCUCCGCUGGCACGCACCUGCUCACCGUCCAGCGGGAUAUCGAGAUGUAAGCGACCACUUACAUCGCCGCCAAUCUGCAGCUCAUCAAGCGCCGCGCCAAGCGUCGACUUCAACGGUGACUGAUUAAAAUAGUCGCGAACGUCAGGUCCGGCACCGCGAAUAUCACCAUCGAUAAUCAGUUUCUCUUUCAGAUAGUCCGGGAUCACUGCGGUAACAUUUUUGCCCUGCACUUUACCCAGCAUCGCCUGUGGCGCGUUCAUCCACAGUCCGUCAUUCACGAAAUCGAGGUCGAUAGCGAGGUUAUUCAGCGUCGGCCAGCCGGGUUCAAACUCAUAAUGGGCAUUGCGCAGCGGUACC